rnacentral:lncRNA from 1 species
UUUUCUUUUUCUAUUCUUACCAUUGCUGUUAAUUUAUCUUCUAAUUUUAAUUCUUCUUUUUCUAACAUUAGAUAUAAAUGUUCACCUAUUUUCUUAUAUCUUCUUCCUAGAUUAGAAAAUACUAUUUUUAUUUUUAAUCCUUCGUGGUUUUCAUAUAUUUUUUCAUCUAUUAUAAAUUCUUCUUUGUUCAUUUUAUUGUGAAUAGGUCAUGUUGAUAUACAUAUUCUAAACUAUCUAUUUGUGAUUCUAAUUUUGAUAUUUCAUCUUUUUGUGUAUCUAUU